GAUGAACGCUGGCGGCGUGCCUAAUACAUGCAAGUCGAACGAAACUUCUUUAUCACCGAGUGCUUGCACUCACCGAUAAAGAGUUGAGUGGCGAACUGGUGAGUAACACGUGGGCAACCUGCCCAAAAGAGGGGGAUAACACUUGGAAACAGGUGCUAAUACCGCAUAACCAUAGUUUCCGCAUGGUAACUAUGUAAAAGGUGGCUAUACUACCGCUUUUGGAUGGGCCCGCGGCGCAUUAGCUAGUUGGUAGGGUAAAGGCUUACCAAGGCAAUGAUGCGUAGCCGAAUUGAGAGGUUGAUCGGCCACAUUGGGGCUGAGACACGGCCCAAACUCCUACGGGAGGCAGCAGUAGGGAAUCUUCCACAAUGGGCGAAAGCCUGAUGGAGCAACGCCGCGUGGGUGAAGAAGGUCUUCGGAUCGUAAAACCCUGUUGUUAGAGAAGAAAGUGCGUGAGAGUAACUGUUCACGUUUCGACGGUAUCUAACCAGAAAGCCACGGCUAACUACGUG
rnacentral:rRNA from 1 species